CCUACGGGAGGCAGCAGUGAGGAAUAUUGGUCAAUGGGCGCGAGCCUGAACCAGCCAAGUCGCGUGAGGGAUGACUGCCCUACGGAUUGUAAACUUCUUUUAUAAAGGAGUAAAGUGAGGCACGUGUGCCUUUUUGUAUGUACUUUGUAAAUAAGGAUCGGCUAACUCCGUUCCAGCAGCCGCGGGAAUACCGAGGAGCGGAGCGGUCUCCCGGUUUAUUGGGUUUAAAGGGAUCGUAGAUGGGUUGUUAAGGUCGUUGUGAAAGUGUGCGGCUCAAACGUAAAACUGCAAUUGAAACUGGCAGUCUUGAGUACAGUUGAGGUAGGCGGAAUGCGUGGUGUAGCGGUGAAAUGCUUAGAUAUCACGAAGAACUCCGAUUGCGAAGGCAGCCUACUAAACUGCCACUGACAUUGAUGCUCGAAAGUGUGGGUAUCAAACAGGAUUAGAUACCCGAGUAGUC
rnacentral:rRNA from 1 species